GGCGGACCCCGCAGCUGUGUCUGCCGGAGCCCUGCGCGCCCUCGGAGCCAUGCUGCGGAGCUGCGCCUCACGACUGCGCACGCCCGGGGCCCUGCGCGGCAGGUUGGGAGGUGCGCCCCCGCCGGCGAGGGACUCGCGGCCGCCCCCUAGGUCGUUUUCUUCAGAGGUCAUUUAUGUGGACCAUUCUCUCCCCAACCCCAGCUGGAGCAAGGACAUGAGACUCCUUUUUGACCAGUUCAUGAAGAAAACUGAAGAUGGCUCUUGGAAACGUUUGCCUUCACAUAAAUCUGUAUCUCCUCAAAGGACUGAAGAGGUCAAAACCUUUUUUCCUGGCACUAGAGGAAGACCGGGCAGAGCAGACUUCUGCCUGUUUUCCCAGGAUCCCAUCUGUAGGCUC